CACGGGGGGAGCAAGCGUUGUUCGGAAUCACUGGGCGUAAAGGGCGUGUAGGCGGUCUGGUAAGUGGGAUGUGAAAGCCCCCGGCUCACCCGGGGAUCUGCAUUCCAAACUGCCAGACUUGAGUAUGGGAGAGGACAGGGGAAUUCCUGGUGUAGCGGUGAAAUGCGUAGAUAUCAGGAGGAACACCGGUGGCGAAAGCGCCUGUCUGGCCCAAUACUGACGCUGGAUGACGCGAAAGCUACGGGGAGCAAAGCGGG
rnacentral:rRNA from 1 species